GUUGAACGCUGGCGGCAUGCCUAACACAUGCAAGUCGAACGCGAAAGGGGGCAACCCUGAGUAGAGUGGCGGACGGGUGAGUAACGCAUCGGAAUUUACCCUGUCGUGGGGGAUAACCAAGGGAAACUUUGGCUAAUACCGCAUGAUCUGGUGACAGCAAAGCGGGGGACCUGCAAGGGCCUCGCGCGAUGGGAUGAGCCGAUGCCUGAUUAGCUAGUUGGUAGGGUAAAGGCCUACCAAGGCGACGAUCAGUAGCUGGUCUGAGAGGAUGAUCAGCCACACUGGGACUGAGACACGGCCCAGACUCCUACGGGAGGCAGCAGUGGGGAAUAUUGGACAAUGGGGGCAACCCUGAUCCAGCAAUGCCGCGUGUGUGAAGAAGGCCUGCGGGUUGUAAAGCAC
rnacentral:rRNA from 1 species